UGUCUCUAAUCCAAACUGGAGUGUCCUUCCAGAAAAUCUGAGCCAGAGUGUGAAGAAGUGAUGGUAAUUCUGCAAGGACCAUCUCCCUCCAGUCCCUAGUAACUGGUGACAUUAGUCACUUUUCCAUCACUAGAACAAAAUACCUGUGAUUGUUUACUUAUUCAUUUGUUUGCUUUUUUGGUUUUUUGAGACAGGGUUUCCUUGUGUAUCUUUGGCUGUCCUGGAACUCACUUUGUAGAUCAAGCUCGCCUCAAACUCACAAAGAGAUUCACCUGCCUCUGCCUUUCCGAGUGUUGGGAUUAAAGACGUGUGCCACCAUGCCCAGCAUGGGAUUGAUGACUUAAACACAGAAAGGGUUUAACUCACAGCUCUUUUGAGGAGGAGGUUCUUGUCCAAGAUCAGGACACUUGUGGCUUUGGGCCUUUGGGGAGAGGACACAGGAUGGCAAUGACAGAAACCCACAGAGAGCAAACUGCUCAGGGCCGGGGAACGGGGGAGUAAGUUACCCUCCAAGGGUCUCCCACUUUACCCUGUUCCUCAUCAUACCACACUAUAGGGCCCAUGGCUUCAUCUUGAAUACAGUUUCUGGCCAGACAUUUUGUUACAUUUUUCUGGCUAAACAUCCUGUUUAUUCCUGUGCUUCCUCUGGCCCCAUGGUGGUUAGCUAUAGGGCCAUUGUUUACUCCAUCUUGGGCCGGGAAAUUUCCCACCUGCCUGGGGGGAAUUCCAUUGUGUAUCAGCUAGGUAUAUAAGGAUUUUCCUAAGCUUAAAUAAAUGGCAUUUGGCAUUAUCUCCUCACGAAUGACCCAGUCUCUUGUGUGUUUUUUAAUCUCCAGGCCCUUCCCCGGCUGGCUAACAGUACAGUAGUGCGUGAACUGUACUGUAGAGAAUAAGGCAGGCAUUGCAGUUGGAGACCCAUCAACGAGAUCAGGAAGUAGGGGACCCCUGAGAGAUCACCCUCGGAGGCUGGCCAGCAGCAAGGGCCCAUUCUAUGGGUACAUGAACAUGUGUCACCUGUAAAAAUUACGAUCUCGUAUCCAUCUGCUGUGCUAUGUGUUAUUCAGAAAGGGAUGCUGACAGUGCAGUAUGGGUACCUGAGCACCUGGUGCGUGCUGUGGAUUUUCCUGUCCAAGAGCCUGAGGACAGGACAGAGCCAAGAGAUCAAAUAGACACUGGUUGGUCAACUGAAGAGUUGCUGGGGUCCUGAGGAGCUGGCGGUGGUUUUCCAAGUGCCAAGGAUUGUUCCUCUACCUAUCAACCCAUCUCAUGAUGAUCAACUCAUCCUGUAUCAAACAAGAAGAGAUUUUGGCUUUACAGCCAUAAUGUAUAAAAUCUCCCACAUGGUACAAUUAAAAAAACUGUUACAUUCUUGAA